CAGCAGCCGCGGGAAUACGAAGGGUGCAAGAGUUAAUCGGAAUUACUGGGCGUAAAGCGUGCGUAGGCGGUUUGUUAAGUCUGCUGUGAAAUCCCCGGGCUCAACCUGGGAAUGGCAGUGGAUACUGGCAAGCUAGAGUGUGUCAGAGGAUGGUGGAAUUCCCGGUGUAGCGGUGAAAUGCGUAGAGAUCGGGAGGAACAUCAGUGGCGAAGGCGGCCAUCUGGGACAACACUGACGCUGAGGCACGAAAGCGUGGGGAGCAAACAGGAUUAGAUACCCGUGUAGUCCCUGUCUCUUAUAC
rnacentral:rRNA from 1 species